CGCCAGGAGGCUCUGAGCGCAUCCCCCGGGUCAACGUUCCUAGUGCCGGGAUCGUUGGCUAACGGUUGCGGGGAACAGUUGCGGCUCUAGUCCACCGCAGCCGGUUGGGCUGGGUUCCCAGCUCUGGCACAUUCCUGGCCAGAUUGGAAAUACGUAAUUUCCAAUUUCGUAUCAACAUCCCCCAGGCGGCCUCACCACGCCCUGACGUUGGCUCCUUGCUUCUCUUCAGCGCGAGGAUGCGGGACUUUUGUUUGACCCCGGAGUUAGGAGGUUGCGCUGCUACCUCACUACCCGGAGCCUGAGAGACAGUCGGGCCGAGGGCCCGCACCAGGGACAAGACCAGCCCUCCAGAUCCGGCCCUUUCAGAGCCAUCCAGAGGACCCAAGUUCGGGUGCAUGUAUAUACACAUGCCUUGCUGUAUGCGUGGGGUUUCAGAGCGUCCACUCUGCAUCACACCCUGGACAUUAUUAACCUAAUGUGUAUUUUUAAAAGUCACAUCAACCUCUCCAGCCAGCUGGAUUCGAAUCUACCAAUAAUCAACACAGUGAACAAUCUGCAGAAUGAGAGAAAAUAUUUGCAAAGUAUGCAUCCAACAGGGGACUAAUAUCCAGAAUGUACAAGGAACUCAAAUGAAACAACCACCACCAACCCCACCCCCAAAAUAAUCCCAUUAAAAAGUUGUUAGAGCUGGUUUCCUUCGGCCCCAGGAACAGGGAGGCAGAAUCGCUGAGGCUGCAAAGCACAAAGGAGUUUAUUGGCUAGCUCGAGCUAGGGUCCAGGUCCCAGAGCGCCAACGCAGUGGCCUACAUAGGAACCAGGACCCCACCCUGGGGUAUAAGUCAAGCUUUUAUACUUUUCUGCAAGUUGUACAUGUUGGGUACACCUUUCCUCCCCUCCCCCCUUAGUCCAUGGGUUCCUUUAAAAGUGGCUGAUCGUGUUGGCUCCUGA